rnacentral:rRNA from 1 species
UGCAGUCGAGCGGAACGAUCCUAGCUUGCUAGGAGGCGUCGAGCGGCGGACGGGUGAGUAAUGCAUAGGAAUCUGCCCGGUAGUGGGGGAUAACUUGAGGAAACUCAAGCUAAUACCGCAUACGCCCUACGGGGGAAAGCAGGGGCUCUUCGGACCUUGCGCUAUCGGAUGAGCUUAUGUCGGAUUAGCUGGUUGGUGAGGUAACGGCUCACCAAGGCGACGAUCCGUAGCUGGUCUGAGAGGAUGAUCAGCCACAUCGGGACUGAGACACGGCCCGAACUCCUACGGGAGGCAGCAGUGGGGAAUAUUGGACAAUGGGGGCAACCCUGAUCCAGCCAUGCCGCGUGUGUGAAGAAGGCCCUCGGGUUGUAAAGCACUUUCAGCGAGGAAGAAUGCUUGUCGGUUAAUACCCGGCAAGGGAGACAUCACUCGCAGAAGAAGCACCGGCUAACUCCGUGCCAGCAGCCGCGGUAAUACGGAGGGUGCGAGCGUUAAUCGGAAUUACUGGGCGUAAAGCGUGCGUAGGCGGCUUGAUAAGCCGGUUGUGAAAGCCCCGGGCUCAACCUGGGAACGGCAUCCGGAACUGUUAGGCUAGAGUGCAGGAGAGGAAGGUAGAAUUCCCGGUGUAGCGGUGAAAUGCGUAGAGAUCGGGAGGAAUACCAGUGGCGAAGGCGGCCUUCUGGACUGACACUGACGCUGAGGUACGAAAGCGUGGGUAGCAAACAGGAUUAGAUACCCUGGUAGUCCACGCCGUAAACGAUGUCGACUAGCCGUUGGGGUCCUCGAGACCUUUGUGGCGCAGUUAACGCACUAAGUCGACCGCCUGGGGAGUACGGCCGCAAGGUUAAAACUCAAUGAAUUGACGGGGGCCCGCACAAGCGGUGGAGCAUGUGGUUUAAUUCGAUGCACGCGAGAACCUUACCUAC